rnacentral:rRNA from 1 species
AGAGCGAACGCUGGCGGCAGGCCUAACACAUGCAAGUCGAGCGCCCGUAGCAAUACGGGAGCGGCAGACGGGAUAGUAACACGUGGGAACGCGCCCUUCGGUUCGGAAUAACUCAGGGAAACUUGAGCUAAUACCGGAUACGCCCUUACGGGGAAAGAUUUAUUGCCGAAGGAACGGCCCGCGUCCGAUUAGCUAGUUGGUGAGGUAAUGGCUCACCAAGGCGACGAUCGGUAGCUGGUCUGAGAGGAUGACCAGCAUCACUGGGACUGAGACACGGCCCAGACUCCUACGGGAGGCAGCAGUGGGGAAUAUUGGACAAUGGGCGCAAGCCUGAUCCAGCAAUGCCGCGUGGAUGAAGAAGGUUUUCGGAUUGUAAAGUCCUUUCGGCGGGGACGAUGAUGACGGUACCCGCAGAAGAAGCCCCGGCUAACUUCGUGCCAGCAGCCGC